rnacentral:rRNA from 1 species
UACGAAGGGUCCAAGCGUUGUUCGGAAUCAUUGGGCGUAAAGCGCGAGCAGGCGGAUCAGCAAGUCAGGUGUGAAAUCUCGGGGCUCAACCCCGAAACUGCGCCUGAAACUGCUAGUCUAGAAUAUCGGAGGGGGCAGGGGAAUUUCACGUGUAGGGGUAAAAUCCGUAGAGAUGUGAAGGAACACCGGGGGCGAAGGCGCCUGCCUGGACGAUUAUUGACGCUGAGGCGCGAAAGCGUGGGGAGCAAACAGG